rnacentral:rRNA from 1 species
UACGUAGGGUGCGAGCGUUAAUCGGAAUUACUGGGCGUAAAGUGUGCGCAGGCGGUCGCGCAAGUCGAGUGUGAAAGCCCCGAGCUUAACUUGGGAAUUGCGCUCGAAACUACGUGGCUGGAGUGUGGCAGAGGAAGGUGGAAUUCCAGGUGUAGCGGUGAAAUGCGUAGAGAUCUGGAGGAACACCGAUGGCGAAGGCAGCCUUCUGGGCCAACACUGACGCUCAUGCACGAAAGCGUGGGGAGCAAACAGG